GCGCAGCAGUCGAGAAUUUUUCUCAAUGGGCGAAAGCCUGAAGGAGCGACGCCGCGUGGAGGAUGAAGGCCUUCGGGUUGUAAACUCCUGUCAUUUGAGAACAAGUGUCGGCAAGUAACUACUGCCGACUUGAUAGUAUCAGAAGAGGAAGGGACGGCUAACUCUGUGCCAGCAGCCGCGGUAAUACAGAGGUCCCAAGCGUUGUUCGGAUUCAUUGGGCGUAAAGGGUGCGUAGGUGGCGCCAUAAGUCAGGUGUGAAAUUUCGGAGCUUAACUCCGAAACUGCAUUUGAUACUGUGGUGCUUGAGGACUGGAGAGGAGACUGGAAUUUACGGUGUAGCAGUGAAAUGCGUAGAGAUCGUAAGGAAGACCAGUGGCGGAGGCGGGUCGUCU
rnacentral:rRNA from 1 species